AAUUUCCUUUUCCGCCACUUUUCGUUCAGUGUGGUUUUUCAGGUUUUAGGUGGCCAGUGAGUCAGAAGGUGUGAGAGUGUUCGUCAAACAUUUACGGAAAUGGUUAUUUUACAGUACAUUUACGGUCGCUGAUUUUUGUAGCGUCUUUAUGCAUGCACAUCUAGAAUUCGGAAGAUGGAAUCUAUAAGGAAAUGGUUCUACAAGCCUAAGAGAGAUGAUCCAUCUUUGCUGGCCCAGUUCUUCUAUGCUGAUGAGGCAUUGAACCUUGUCGCAGCUGAACUGGAUAGCUUUGAUGGACGCAAGGACCCAGAGAGAUGUACAGCCCUUGUUAAUCAUCUCAGACAGUGUCAGGAUAAGGUUUUAACAAUCUGCAAUCGCAUUAUGGACGUUGUUAUUCCUGCAGAGAGAGCAAACAGAGACUUCCGUGUCAAGUUUCCAGAUGACGUAAUGCAGGAAAACUUGGCUGGGCAACUGUGGUUCGGUGCUGAAUGUUUGGCUGCCGGUUCUAGCAUCAUGAACCGUGAGGGUGAAAGUUCAGCAAUGCGACCACUGGCAAAGGCAUUAACGAAGGCUCUGGAGAAUGUCCGCAACCUACUUCGCGAGCAGUGUCUCCGUGGAAACACCAGCAACAUUAAUGGCAUGAAUGAAGCGUUUGGAGAAAGACUGCAGGAGGCACUGAAGAUUUUUGAUCGCCUCUUUGCAGAAUUUGAACUGUGCUAUGUGAGUGCAAUGGUGCCUGUGAAGUCAACCAAGGAAUAUGAAUUGCAGCAAUUAGUUGUUGUCUUGUUCUCAGAGACACUCCAGAGGGCUUUAAAAAUGAAGCUUCUGACACAAGAGAUGGUAGAUGACUAUGAUCCAGCUCUUAUGUUUACAAUUCCACGUCUUGCCAUCGUUAGUGGGCUUCUCAUUUUCCCUGAUGGUCCACUGUGCCUAGACAGAACCCCCGCUGAUAUGUCUGAAAUGUUCCGCCCCUUCAGGACAUUACUGCAUAAGAUACGUGAAUUAUUGUGGACCUUGAAUAGCAAGGAACUGUUUACUCUGGAAAAACUUAUGUGCUCGUCAGAAGAACCUGGUGACUUUCGCUCCUCUGGCCAAUCAGUUGAAAUCCAUGAAGCUGCCGAAUUGAUUGGAACAACUCCUGGAGCUCCAUCCUAUCCCACGGUGUUUGAUCUAGAUGACUUUGUUACACGCUUUUACAUUGAUUAUCCAAGCUGUAAGCAGUUUGUUACAGACUUUUAUGCUAGUACAUCUUCAAGAAACACAGAAACUCAGGAUUUGUUUAACAGUGCAGUGAAUGAAAAUAUUUCAGACAUACCCAGAACUGAGGAUGAAAUGAAUGUGGUUGACAGUGAAGUAGUUCCAUCAUGGGAGAGCACUGAAGAAAGUGAAGAUGAAACAGAGUAUAUAGGUGAAACUUCAGAAUGUGAAACUGUUGUAACUGGUAUGUAUAAUGAGGCAGAAGAGAACAUAAGUUCUGUUGAAAGUGACAGUAAAACUUCAGUUUCAUUACCAGAAGAUAUCCCAACAGAGUGUAAUCAUAUUGGCUUGAGAGAGAGUUUAGUGUUUGGAGAACAUAUAAGCACAGACCAGCAGUCAGCAUCAUUAUCUUCCUCAUCUUCUUUUGCUUCCCAUCUUGACUUCCAGGCGCAAGCAUUUGAAUCACCAAGACUUACAGCCAAUACAAGUGAGUCCGAGUAUUCCGAGUCCUGCAGUCUCUUGCCGUAUUCAGAUACAAUUAAAAUUCCCACACCCAGUGCAUCCGGGUUCCUUCUUGCCAACCAAGUGGGCCAUGAGUCUAUGCUUGCAUCUAUGGAAAGACUUACUAGUCCUAGAAUGCCUGAUUUAUCUCCUGGUGCUGGAGAAUCCCUUCCUGAUGGUGAUUCCCGUGAAGCCUUGUCAGUUGCCACAGCGACUCUGUCCACUUUACUACUCAGUACCCCUAAUAUCUCUCCUGUUUGUGAUGUGUCACACAAUGCUGAAGAAGAUUCAAGUAUCCAAUCGCCUUUAGAUUCUGGAGUUGGCACUGUUGUGAGUUGUAGUGAUACUGGGAGUUUUUCUGACAGAUCACCUGAUGCAGCCUCGGCUCCUGCCUUGGUAUCAAGUGGGAUGAAACCAACUGAUAAUUCGUCUACAUCUCAUAUUAGUACUCAGACUUGCUGUGAUAUUUCUGACAAUCCUCAACAGCAAUGGCAAGUCGAAACAAUUCCGUGCAGCUGUACUCUGAGUGAUAGACUUGCAACAUCCGAUAACUUCAGCAGGUGCCUAAAUGAGUUGCAUUAUUGUGCUGAUUCUUGUAGUAGGAAUUGUGUGAAAACAGGUGGUGGGUCAUGUCAAAAUACUGAAGUGGACAGGUGUAAUACGACUGUAGUUAGAACACAUAAUAAUGGUAUCUGUGAUAAUGCAUUAGGUGACAGUGGUGAGAAUGUUUUGACUUGUAAUGAUUGCCUGUUAUCUGUAGAAGCAGAAGAUCUUGACAGACAGACUCUAAUGUCAUCUGAUGUUGAAACUUUUAAAGUUUUAAGUGAUAGAGGUGAAGGAUUGACAAAUCUUACAUCUUGUGGUGCAAACAAGAAUGAAAGAGUUAUGUGUGACAGAACCACCACUGCAGAUUUUAGUCAGGAUACCAGUAGCUUAUGGAACGGUAGACAGACGAGUGUUCUUUUAUCUCAUAACGCAGAUGACCUCAGUUACAGUGAAGUUAACGUAAGUCAUGUGACAUUGUAUAAUGCUGAUGUACCUCAGGAUUUCGAAGAAAAUAAUGUUGAUGCUAAUGGAGGUGAGAUUUUUGAGAGGACAUUCAGUCACUGUAAUGAUGUACCUGAAGCAGCCCUCCAGUUGAAUGGGUCAUAUAAGGACACUGUUAUGUCAUGUGGGGACCAUAAGCAAAACAAAAGUUUGCCUCGUAUUGUGGUGAAGACGGAAGAAGACCAAGGGAAAAGUGAAGGGGGAAAGUGGUUUGGUGUGGAAAAUGGGGAUGGGCAGUGUAGUUUGUGCAGCAGCAACAAUGCCGAGGGAGCUCAGAGUCAAAUGUCAGAUUUUCGUCUGAACUGUGCAGAUAGCUGGAAGCAUCUUAUGGUGAAACAACAGAAUGAAGUUCUGAGCUCAAGCUUAGGAUGCUCGGCACAAAUAACUAGUCAUUUGGAACAAAAAAUAGCUGAAAAUGGGAGAGUCAGGGGAAGCAGAAAAGUUUUUCUUCACACCAAUUCCUCAAGAAAUGUAGCAUCUUCCUUCUCCACUCCAAGUGACACAAAUUAUGAAGCAGGUGGUUCAACAUUAGCAAUAGUUCCUAGUCAGAAUGGAAGGAGUCUCGAUGUGCCACUGGCAAGCAGCUUUUCUUCCACAAGUUCCAGUUGCCAGAGCUCAGUCACAGUAAGUUCUGACAGUUGCAGUAUGAGCAGUGAUACAUCAUCUUUCAAUUCAGAAUGCCAGGAUGAUGAGGAAAUUGCAUUGGCAAUGCAGGCAGCUGAGAUUGCUAAUCGAAAUGAAGCCCGUGCAAAAUUCAGGUCGAGUGAGGAUUUGGUUCAUCGCUUAUUUGUGUGCAUUGCGGGUGUGGCCGACCAGUUGCAGACAAACUUUGCAGGCGAUCUUCGACACAUUCUGAAGUGCGUGUUUCUCAUGAGUGCAUCAAGCAGCAUUAGCACAGAAGAGCAAGAUUUGGAGGAAAGUGCAGUGACUACUGUAUCAGUUGAGCCAGAAUCAUCGUCCCCAUCAGGAGAUAAUGAUUUCUCUCGCCCUGUGGAAAGUGCGGAAGAAGCGCUCUCAACAGGAUGGGAGACUCCAGCAAGUCCAGUGGAAGUGGAAUCCCCACCACCAUGGAUUCCAGACGACAUGGCUCCACGCUGCAUGUCUUGUGAAGCUGUGUUUACUGUUGUUAGGAGGCGCCAUCACUGUAGAAACUGCGGAAAAGUUUUCUGUGCACGGUGUAGUUCCAAUUCCGUCCCACUGCCUCGAUAUGGCCACGUAAAACCUGUACGUGUGUGUAACCGCUGCUUCUUGUACCAAGUUACUCCAUUUACACUGGAAGAAUUGGCCACAAGAUCAUAGUUUCUAUUACAUUUUUUCUUAUAUUUCUGUUUCUGCCUGUUUUCCUGUACAGUUCUGUGUAUGUCCUCCCUGACAUUGUCUGCACCAUGAGGACAUCAGCUGGUACUGAAUCAUUCUACUCCAAGGAACUGUUUCUUUAAUUAAAAAUGAAGCAUGGGUUUUGGUAUUGAAAACACUGUGAAUUUAAUAAUUAUUGAUCAUAUUCACAAAAUUCUGUUAGGCAUUACUUAUGAGUAAUCUGGAUUUGUAAAUUUGAUUGUGGUAUUUUGUGUUAACUUUAAGUGAUUGUUAAUGCUUUAUAGCAAUGUAACUGGAGCUAUUUUAUAACAAAGAUCUGAGCUUUCUAGUAUGUUUAUUGUGUGGUGGUCACUUUAUGGAGUAGUAGUGUUUUUAGUCAUUUGCUGUCUCUUUGAGUUAAGACCCUAAUUUAUAUAUGUGUUUGAAAACUGAGUGUUCAAAAAAAUGUUUGAACCUAAUAAGAAUGAAGUACUCUUUCCAGUCACAUAAUUUAUGCACUCCUUUAAUCAUAUAUUUGUGUUUGAAAGUUGUGUGUAAAAUAUGUGGAUAUUGUAUUACGUUUUAUAUUCUCACAGUGGUGACUGAGAGGUGAUGCCUUGUACUUGGGUAAAAGGUUACCAACAUUUUUUAAGAAUGUAUGCCUCCAUCAUCAGAGUGAAAAGAGUAAUUCAAGCAAGCAGGAAGCAGCAAGUGGAGGUCUGCUCACUUUAUGCUUGUUGCUUUUUGAGCUUACUCUUCAAUCCUGAAGAUGGAGGCAGUAUAUUCUUCUGACAUGCUGGUUAACUUCUUCCAGACCACACAGCAUUAUAUCCCAGAAGAUAGCAGUCUUCAUGCAAAUACUACUUUUCAGAGUAUAAUUUUACAUGUUAAAUUGUUAGAGAAAUUGGUUGCAUAAUACGAGGGUCAUACUGAAAGUCAUGAGCAACAAUUUUUUGUAAAGUAACAUGCUUUAUUAUUGACAAACCAAAUAC